rnacentral:rRNA from 1 species
UGCCAGACUCCUACGGGAGGCAGCAGUGAGGAAUAUUGGUCAAUGGGCGCGAGCCUGAACCAGCCAAGUCGCGUGAGGGAUGACGGCCCUACGGGUUGUAAACCUCUUUUGCCGGGGAGCAAAGAGCGGGACGCGUCCCGCCUCGAGAGUACCCGGAGAAAAAGCAUCGGCUAACUCCGUGCCAGCAGCCGCGGUAAUACGGAGGAUGCGAGCGUUAUCCGGAUUUAUUGGGUUUAAAGGGUGCGCAGGCGGUGUGUAAGCACAGGGGUAAAGGCGGGGGGCCCACCCCCGGCCCGCCGUUGAAACUGGCAGUCUCGAGUUGGAGAGAAGUAUGCGGAAUGCGCGGUGUAGCGGUGAAAUGCAUAGAUAUCGCGCAGAACUCCGAUUGCGAAGGCAGCAUGCCGGCUCCACACUGACGCUGAGGCACGAAAGCGUGGGUAUCGAACAGGAUUAGAUACCCCCGUA